UACGUAGGGGGCGAGCGUUGUCCGGAAUCAUUGGGCGUAAAGCGCGUGUAGGCGGCCCGGUAAGUCCGCUGUGAAAGUCCAGGGCUCAACCCUGGGAUGCCGGUGGAUACUGUCGGGCUCGAGUCCGGAAGAGGCGAGUGGAAUUCCUGGUGUAGCGGUGAAAUGCGCAGAUAUCAGGAGGAAUACCGGUGGCGAAGGCGGCAUCCUGGACCGACAUUGACGCUGAAAGCCGAAAGCUAGGGGAGCAAACGGG
rnacentral:rRNA from 1 species